rnacentral:lncRNA from 1 species
UGAUUCCAUAUGUGGAAUUCUUCCAGUGAUAUAUUUUAAUAACCUCAUUCUUUUUAGUAGUUUCUCAUCUGUCAUUUAUAUGUUACAGAUGAGUUUAAGUUGCAUGAAGGUGGCUAAUGUGGGUCUCAGAAAUUGGUAAGUGUGGACAGACAUCUGAUAUGUUACUGACUCACUCAGUAGCUUUUCUGUUGUAUCAAUUUGGAUGCUAGUGGUAAUGAUGAUGUCACCAUUGCCUACUUGGGAGAUAAUGAAAGCAAUCAUGGAUGCUGUUUUUACUGGGCAUAUCAUCUAAGAUGGGAGAGUCUUUGAUCUAAGAAUAAAGACUGAUUUGAAGAUAACCAAUUUGUGGUAGCUAGUUGUAGAAUUUCACAUCAGACUGCACUGUUGUCGUUUUAAAUGUGAUGUGGACCCAUUAGAAUUCACAGCAAAUCAUCUGGGCUACUUCAGGGUUGCCACACAAUACCUGAGAUAAUCAAUUUGAAAAGAGAAAAGAUUUAUUUUGACUCAUAGAUUUGGAGGGUUCAGUCAAUGGUUGGUUGGCCCUAUUGCUUUUGGGCCUGUGGUAAAGCAGUGUAUCAUGGUGAGGAGUGUGUGUUGGAUCACAGCUGCCUACCUCGUGGUGGCUGGGAAGCAAAAUGGAAAAAGGACUAGAAGAGAUUGAGGUCUCACAGUCCUCUUCAAGGAUGUGCUCCUGCUGACUACAGGCCUCCCAGAAGCCCCCACCUUUAACAUUUCUACCACCUCUUCAUUGUGCCGCUCUGGGGAACAAGCCUUCAACCCAUGGGCCUUGGGGACAUUCCAGAUGGAAAUAGUAGCACUGCCCAUGUGUUGGGCCUAGUCAGCAUUGACAGACCUUGUUUUGGCUGGUUUCACACAUGAAGCAUGUUGGAAUUGAACUUAAACACCCUUAUUCUGACUCCAUUUGUCUCAUUGGUGAAGAAAUGGGCUUGUUAACCACUUAUUUUUUCCUUUUUAGAAAGAUAAAUUGUUCAGUUGUACUUUGAUCAUUUUUAUAACUUUCACCUUGUUUCUUAGGGAACCCAUGUCUGGUUAGCCUCUCUUUUAUUAUGGAAGUAGGAGUAAAAAGACCAUUUUAGCAAAUAAUUCAGGGAGAACUUGGGACCAGAAGCUCUUGUUAUGUACAGAAAAGGAUAACCUCAAUGAACCCAAACUAAUUUUGUAUUAGCAGUUAUGGUAAAUUUAAUUUGUAAUAUUUUAUACAAAUUGUUUAGAAUGCUU